rnacentral:rRNA from 1 species
UUAAGAGCUUGCUCUUAUGAUUAGUGGCGCACGGGUGAGUAAUAUAUAGGUAAUGUACCUCUUAGUCUGGGAUAGCCACUGGAAACGAUGAUUAAUACCGGAUACUCCUUUCUGAUUAUAAUUUCAGUCGGGAAAGUUUUUCGCUAAGAGAUCGGUCUAUAUUCCAUCAGCUAGUUGGGGAGGUAAUGGCUCACCAAGGCAAUGACGGAUAGCGGGUUUGAGAGGAUGAUCCGCCACACUGGUACUGAGACACGGACCAGACUCC